UAUUUGACCUCAAAUCAGGUAGGACUACCCGCUGAACUUAAGCAUAUCAAUAAGCGGAGGAAAAGAAACUAACAAGGAUUCCCCUAGUAACUGCGAGUGAAGAGGGAAAAGCUCAAAUUUGAAAUCUGGCGGUCUUUGGCUGUCC
rnacentral:rRNA from 1 species